rnacentral:rRNA from 1 species
UACGGAGGGUGCGAGCGUUGUCCGGAAUCACUGGGCGUAAAGGGCGCGUAGGCGGCCUGAUAAGUAGGGGGUGAAAUCCUGCGGCUUAACCGCAGGGCUGCCUUCUAAACUGUCGGGCUCGAGCACAGUAGAGGCAGGUGGAAUUCCCGGUGUAGCGGUGGGAUGCGUAGAGAUCGGGAAGAACAUCAGUGGCGAAGGCGGCCUGCUGGGCUGUUGCUGACGCUGAGGCGCGACAGCGUGGGGAGCAAACAGG